rnacentral:lncRNA from 1 species
AGAUCUCCCUAAAUUCAGUGCUUAACCGAAAGAUAGCGUAUAACAAGUGAAAGAAUAGAAUGCAUUUUUCUCUCAUGCCAAGAUUUGUUCAUAUGACAAAAACUUGUGAAUAUUAACAUUAAAAGACUACUUCAUACAUUAGGGAAGGAGCUAUUCUAAACAAUACUUGAAUAGUGUCAUGAGUCUGAAAGUUAACAUUGGGCUUGAGGUUGAUUUAAUGCCAGUUCUGUAAUCAUUACUUGCGAACAUCGGGUAAGGCGAGAUACCAGAGCUGGAAAAUAUUGUCUUGUGGAAGAGGUCUUGGAUGGUGUCCUUGAUCGAGAGACAGUCUCGAAAAGCCAUUGGCUUCGAACCUCUAGAGACCUUGGCUUAACCAAAUAGCAGAGCCGGCUAGAGGGUGAAGCCUCUAAGGCCUCCACUUCAGGCCACCAAGAAGGUUUUUUUCUUUUGGGGAAN